rnacentral:ncRNA from 2 species
GGAGCAAUUUCUGGAGAGAUCGCAUUUGCGACGCCGAAGGGUUCACAAUCUCAGGCAAAAGGACAGGAAAGGUAAC